AUACGGAGGGUGCAAGCGUUGUUCGGAAUCACUGGGCGUAAAGGAUGCGUAGGCGGAUAAUCAAGUCAAAAGUGAAAUCCCACGGCUUAACCGUGGAACUGCUUUCGAAACUGGUUAUCUAGAAUAUGGAAGAGGCAGAUGGAAUUAGUGGUGUAGGGGUAAAAUCCGUAGAGAUCACUAGGAAUACCGAUUGCGAAGGCGAUCUGCUGGGACAUUAUUGACGCUGAGGCAUGAAAGCGUGGGGAGCAAACAGGAUUAGAAACCCCGGUAGUCC
rnacentral:rRNA from 1 species